AGUGAACGCUGGCGGUAGGCCUAACACAUGCAAGUCGAACGGCAGCACAGUAAGAGCUUGCUCUUACGGGUGGCGAGUGGCGGACGGGUGAGGAAUACAUAGGCAUCUACUUUUUCGGGGGGGAUAACGUGGGGAAACUUACGCUAAUACAGCAUACGACCUACGGGUGAAAGCAGGGGAUAUUCGGACCUUGCGCGAUUGAAUGAGCUGAUGUCGGAUUAGCUAGUGGGCGGGGUAAAGGCAACCAAGGCGACGAUCCGUAGCUGGUCUGAGAGGGUGAUCAGCCACACUGGAACUGAGACACGGUCCAGACUCCUACGGGAGGCAGCAGUGGGGAAUAUUGGACAAUGGGCGCAAGCCUGAUCCAGCCAUACCGCGUGGGUGAAGAAGGCCUUCGGGUUGUAAAGCCCUUUUGUUGGGAAAGAAAAUCAGCAGGUUAAUACCCCGCUGUUCUGACGGUACCCAAAGAAUAAGCACCGGCUAACUUCGUG
rnacentral:rRNA from 1 species